rnacentral:rRNA from 1 species
UCCUUCGGGAGCGAGUAAAGCGGCGAACGGUUGAGUAACACGUGAGAAUCUGCCCUUCAGUGAAGAAUACCUUUGAGAAAUCGAAGUUAAUGCUGCAUAAACCCCUUAGGGGGCAAAGGUGGCCUCUUUGCUACCGCUGGAGGAUGAGCUUGCGGCCUAUCAGCUUGUUGGUGAGGUAAAAGCUUACCAAGGCGACGACGGGUAGCCGGCCUGAGAGGGUGAUCGGCCAGACUGGGACUUAGACACGGCCCAGACUCCUACGGGAGGCAGCAGCGGGGAAUCUUGCGCAAUGGGCGAAAGCCUGACGCAGCGACGCCGCGUGGAGGAUGAAGGUCUUCGGAUUGUAAACUUCUGUUAAGUGGGAAGAAAUAGUCAUGUCAAAUAAACAUGAAAGAUGACGGUACCAUUAGAGAAAGCACCGGCUAAUCUCGUGCCAGCAGCCGCGGUAAUACGAGAGGUGCAAACGUUAUUCGGAAUUACUGGGCGUAAAGGGUGCGUAGACGGCGUAAAAAGUCUGCUGUUAAAUUUUCCGGCCCAACCGGAAUCCAGCGGUGGAAACUUUUAUGCUAGAGGAUAGAAGAGAGAAGUGGAAUUCUCGGAGUAGCGGUAAAAUGCGUAGAUAUCGAGAGGAACACCGAUGGCGAAAGCAGCUUCUUGGUCUAUCCUGACGUUGAGGCACGAAAGCGUGGGUAGCAAACAGGAUUAGAUACCCUGGUAGUCCACGCCGUAAACGAUG